AUUGAACGCUGGCGGCAGGCCUAACACAUGCAAGUCGAGCGGAUGAAGGGAGCUUGCUCCUGGAUUCAGCGGCGGACGGGUGAGUAAUGCCUAGGAAUCUGCCUGGUAGUGGGGGAUAACGUCCGGAAACGGGCGCUAAUACCGCAUACGUCCUGAGGGAGAAAGUGGGGGAUCUUCGGAACUCACGCUAUCAGAUGAGCCUAGGUCGGAUUAGCUAGUUGGUGGGGUAAAGGCCUACCAAGGCGACGAUCCGUAACUGGUCUGAGAGGUGGAUCAGUCACACUGGAACUGAGACACGGUCCAGACUCCUACGGGAGGCAGCAGUGGGGAAUAUUGGACAAUGGGCGAAAGCCUGAUCCAGCCAUGCCGCGUGUGUGAAGAAGGUCUUCGGAUUGUAAAGCACUUUAAGUUGGGAGGAAGGGCAGUAAGUUAAUACCUUGCUGUUUUGACGUUACCAACAGAAUAAGCACCGGCUAACUUCGUG
rnacentral:rRNA from 1 species